rnacentral:rRNA from 1 species
GACGAACGCUGGCGGCGUGCCUAAUACAUGCAAGUCGAACGCAGGGGGGACGGGUGAGUAACACGUGGGUAACCUGCCAUCAGAGGGGAUAACACUUGGAAAAAGGCGCUAAACCGGUAGUGAUGGAUGGACCCGGGGGGCAUUGGCUAGUUGGGGGGGUAACGGCUCACCAAGGCAACGAUGCAUAGCCGCCCUGAGAGGGUGAUCGGCCACACUGGGACUGAGACACGGCCCAGACUCCUACGGGAGGCAGCAGUAGGGAAUCUUCGGCAAUGGACGAAAGUCUGAUCGAGCAACGCCGCGUGAGUGAAGAAGGUUUUCGGAUCGUAAAACUCUGUUGUUAGAGAAGCGGUAUCUAACCAGAAAGCCACGGCUAACUACGUGCCAGCAGCCGCGGUAAUUC